UAUCCAAUGCUUGCAGAGGACAGAAGCGGUGCUGGAACUCUUAGAACUAGAGUUACACAAGGUUGUGAGCCACCAUGUGGGUGAUGGGAACCAAGCCCAGGUCUUCUGCAAGAGCAAGUGCACUUAACUGCUGAGCCAUCUCUACAGCCCUCAGCUUAUUGUAUCUUUUAAUUAAUGGUUUUUGUCUUGUUAUAAACUAAUAGAUGAUGAAUUUAGAAACUUGGGAAAACACAACACAUGUUUUAUGGUUUUGGCCUCCAGUUCUACCAUUUAGGUAAAUCUGCAUUAACAUUUUCAUGUUUUCCUUCUCAUCCUGUUUCUUACUCAUAAUGUAUAAGGAUACUUACAAGUACAUUAUACAUUAUGUAAAUACAAUUAUACUUAUCCAUAUUUGUAGUUUUGUUCACUUUCUCGUGGAAAUAAAAUUUGCUUAAAUUUUUUUGGAAAACAAUUUUUGUCAGGAGCCUUAAUAUAUACAGAUUUGUUUGUUCAUUAAUUAUUCAUCUGAAAACCUAAUGAUGCACACAAAUAUUUAUGUAUGAGCUCAUCAUAGCAUUCUAUAAAAGCAAUGAAAAAUGAAACUAAGAUGUAAUGAGGCAUUAAAUGUUUUGUUUUUCUAAGAGUUUACCACAAAAUUGUUAAAACUUUUGCUUUCAACCAAUAGUACUCAGAGGGGACAUUAGCACAAAUAUGUGCUAAUAUAAUUAAUAUAAUAUAAUAUAGCAAUAUAUAGUUUAUUGCUAUAAUCAUUAAUACAUACAAAUAAAAUUACAUAUAAAAAUGUGGGAAAUCCAAUCUGUGUACUUCUGGGUAUAGCUAUGUUGACUCUUGGUCUGCUUUCAGAGUAAAAGUUAUAUGCAGUGUAUCAAUACAAGGUUUUGGGCUGUUACUAUAAUAAAGACUUGAGAUAAUCAAUAUUUAAAGAGAAAAGAUUUAGUGACAUUUUAUAGCAUUGUCAGUUGACACUUGUUUGGGGGCUUGUAAGGGAGCCCUACAUUAUGGCUAUGGGUGUAGCUAAGCAAAUCCACUUACCUUUUGUCUAGGGAGCAGGAGAAAGGAUUAGGAACUGGCUGAUGUCAACUGUUCCUUAAAGGUCACAGUUCUUUAAGGUGUCAUAGCCUCCCAAUAGUGCCAAACUGGGAAUAAAACUUUAAAGAUUCAAGCUAAGUACAUAAUUUCAUAAAAGCAUAUGACUAAUGUAGGAGCCCUGCUCUUCCAUAUACAGAAAUUCAGUGUUAAGGAGAUACAAGGUUCUAGCAGUGAUUGGUCUACUGAUCACUCUAUCACAGAAACUUGUGAGUGACAGAAAUGUAGAUAAUAUUUAUGUGGUGAUAUUGUGUUCCCCAAUAUAUUGUGCACACUAAUAAGCUUAUCUGGGGUCAGAGAACAGAACAACCACUAGAUAUAGAGGCCAGAAAAUGGUGGCACACACACCUUUAAUCCUAGCAUUUCGAAGGCAGAGAUCCGUCUGGAUCUCUGUGAGUUCAAAGCGACACUGGAAAUAGCCAGGCAUGGUGACAUAUGCCUUUAGUCCCAGGAAGUGAUGGCAGGAAGCAGAAAGGUAUAUAAAGUGUGAAGACCAGAAACUCUAGCCUGGUUAAGCUUUUAGGCUUUUAGCAGCAGUUCAGCUGAGAUCCAUUUGGAUGAAGACUCAGAGGCUUCCAGUUUGAGGAAACAGGAUCGGCUGAGAAGUUGGCAAGGUGAGGUUAGCUGUGGCCUCUUCUGUCUCUCUGACUUUUCAGCAUUCACCCCAAUACCUGGGUCCGGGUUUGUUUUUAUUAAGAAGACCUCCUAACAAUGCGUGCUACAUAUUUAUUUUUUUCUUUCUUCUGUUUUUAUCUUCCAGACAUUCUAUGUGUUUCUUCCAUAAUCAGAAUAAUGGUGAUUAUUGUAGUGGUAUUUGCUCUGCCCAUGACCUUGGACUAUAUGGCUGAAGGAGCCUUUCUACAUGAGAAUGAAGAUAGUAUUCUGGAAAUGGCAGAGCAGAGAGGUGGAGAAGAAAAGUAUGAUGUCAUUACCAGAGCCAACAAUGUCAGCAAACCAUGUACUUCAUCACGAGAGCUAAUAUGGAGAUCAUUACAGAAAACUACAAUCAAUCAAAAUGCAGAGUUGUGGAGCUCUCAGUUCCAGUGGACACAUCUACAAAGCAACUACCAUACCUAAGGCUCAGGGAAUACUGAGGACGUGAGGCUAGGAAAGAUUGCAAGAGGAUCAGUGAGCUUGUGACACUCUGCUAUUACACCUUUUGGUUCUACCACAACAUGACUUGAGACAGAGGCAUGGUGGGUUCCAGGCCAAUCUGGGCUUCCUGGCAAUUAAUUCCAAGCUAGCAUGGAGUACAAAGUAAAAGCUGCCUGAAGCAGUAAGCAAACAAAACCAAUCAAACAACUAGAGUGACUUUUGCUUGUGAUACCUGGUGAGUCACUGCCCACACCAAGCACAUUGGAUGUGAAGGUCCAACCUGUGUCCACAGUGUUAGACAUGAGAUAUCAGGGAACAGUUCCAGCUUUCACAAUAGGCAUUCCCUGAAAAUGCCAGCAGUCUCCUGUGCAAGAAAGUACUGUUGGUCACAGGGGCCAUUCAAAUUUCCUUUCUCUAAAAAGAACAUAACCACUAGGAUCUCUGUUCAUUUCGAUAAUUUCCGUCUAUAAAAAAUUAGGAUCUCUGAUUUCCUCCCAGAAUAUAUAAUACAAACUUUCUUAUUUUAAAGUAUCAAAUCUCAAAAGACUCAAAGUAAAAUUAUACAAAGUCACCAAAACAGUAUCCAUUAUUUUGGAUAUAUGGAGUGACUCUCCAUGCUUAACAAAAAUUUAUUUCUAAGAUAUACAGCUGGGAAAAAAAUUCCCAGAGAUUUGUUGUUUGGGGCCAAACAAAAUUAAUAACCAAUUUGUGAAAAACAAGACUAGAGAAUUAAUAUUUCAUUCCCCUCCCCAUUUACUAAUCACUAACAGAUUUUAUUUUCCUAUGAAAAAAUAAUUAUGAGUAUAACUUCUUGCUAUGAGUGCUCAGGCAUCUUUCAUUAAUUUUAGGAUUAUUUAUAUGCACUUUCAACAAAAUUUGAGCUUUUAUUUACCAAUUAACAUUUUUAUUAAUGUUUUUCCCAUAUAAUAAACAUAAGUUUUGAAACACUAAACAGUAUAACAUAAAUAGAAGCAGUUAUCAUCUGGGAAAAUGGAUAUGAUACAGGUAUUGACUUUGUUCCAGUGAACAUAGAGAUUUAUCGACCUGGAAGAUACAGUCAAUAUUUGCCCUGAGAGAUAAUAAAUCUAGAUGUUCAACAAAAUAUAAAGUCAAUAUUUGUAUUAAUACUUAUGUUUUGAAUACCUGUCCAAAAUCUCUGGACAUUUCACUGUGGUUGAAUUUGUUGAUCCUGGAAAAGUGUUUAAUUCUAGGUAGACCUUGAAGCAAAGUUUGAAGCUAAGACUAAAAUAAAUAUCAGUGAAAACUUCAGAAGAAGAUUGGCAAAAAUUCCACUCUUAUUUUUUCCAUUUGUAACAGUGUCAUUUUUAAUGUAUAAAUUUUAACAAUGUGACUCAUUAAUAUGUGUAAUUUAUUUAUUUAAUACCAAUGCACUAAAUUAUAAUUCAUAUUUAUAAUACAUAUGCAACUGACAAGGCACUAGAAAAUACACAAAUAAAAUGUUGCUUAUAUCAGAUUCUAACUGCUACCUUCUACUGUUUUUAGACUUGUGGAGUAUUUCUUUGAAAUGUAUCAGCGGCUUCUUAAGUACAGUGACCGUAAUGUUGCUCAGUUGAUUUCCUCCUCAGGCAUAAUCAUUUUAUUAGUGAAGCUAUAUGAUUGAUGAGAAUAUGCUCUUGGUUAAGGCAUACCAUUUGUAUAUAAAUUGCCUAUGGAUUUAGAGCCAAACUUUCCAGUAAGAACUUGCAAUCAUCAAAACUAGGAUUAUGAACUAAUAUUCCUCCUUGUCAACUUCCUGUCCCUGGUUAUCUACUUUCUAAGUCCUCAGGGCUAAUAGAUUCAGAGUUCCUUGACUUUUCUCUGUCCUUGAUCUACCUUUGGUGUGGAAUGAAUAUCUCGACUUGUUCACCUAAUUUUUUUCCCUCCAUCACUUUUUUUUUCUAAAAAGAGAAUUCCAAAACUAGAAACCAGUUUUAGGAAAUAGACAGAGUAAUACAAACUAUCAGGGGUGGAAGAAAAUAUUGGCUGUUAACAACACAAAGAAAUAUAUAGUUUACAACAUUAAAAAAUUGCCAAUAUGAUCAAUGACAACUGGCAAUGGUGGAUUUAUUUACAUUGUUUAAACUUAUAUGGCCAGACCUUAGGGGAAUUUCAGUUUAAAAAAAUAACUCCAGUAGUUUUUUUUCCUUCCUGUCCCCCAAUAAAAGCUGAAACAGAGGGGUGGGUUCUUCAAAUUUUUUUUGCUCAUUAAUCCAGUCAAUCUGGAGUUUGCAUGCAAAUGAAAACUAUAUAAGCAGUUUUGUUUAUUUCAAAUGAAAUAUAUUUGUCCCUUUGUCAUUUUUACUAUCCAUCCAUGCCACACUCUCUUCUGUAUAAGGUAGUCCAAUAAAAAUACAACUGUUUUGUUCUAAAAAUAAAAAAAAUGCUGUGCUUCCACAAUUGAUAAAGAAUGAAGCAUUACUCUUCUUCUACAACUCUCUUGGGGAAUGUACUA